rnacentral:lncRNA from 1 species
GGCUGAGGCAGUGCCGGUGACAGAGGCUCAGCCUGGCACAGGGGAGGGAAGGGCUGCUCCUCCUCCCCCGGGGACCGGGAUCCUGCCACGGAUCCUCAGCGGCACCGGGGGGACACCGGCACCGAUGGCAACAGGCACAGUUUUAUCUGGGAGCCGCCCCUCUCCAGGUCCAAUCCAGCAGAGGUGUGCUGUGUUUGCUGCCAGGUCCUGAGCAUCCCCCAGAACCACUGUGCCCCUCUGAGGAUCUGCUUGGCACCUGACCCUGCAGCCAUUCAGUGCCACCUUUCAAAUCACUCCAGUCAAAUCAGGGGCUCACCUGGGAGGAGCUGCUGGUGGUGGAUGGAGGUGAAGAGCCAAGACAUUCCCAUUACAGGGACAGAGGCAGCUGAGCCCUGUGCUGUGCACUGUGGGAUGGGCACAGGGAGGCCGAGCCCUUUGACCAGGGAUGUCAGCCUAGGAAACACACGGUAAGCAGGCAUAGACCUGGUUCUCAAAGGUACCAAACCAGCCUGGGGCAAGUUACAAAUAGAGGAG